rnacentral:rRNA from 1 species
AUUGAACGCUGGCGGCAUGCCUUACACAAGCAAGUCGAACGGUAACAGGUCUUCGGAUGCUGACGAGUGGCGAACGGGUGAGUAAUACAUCGGAACGUGCCCGAGAGUGGGGGAUAACGAAGCGAAAGCUUUGCUAAUACCGCAUACGAUCUCAGGAUGAAAGCAGGGGACCGCAAGGCCUUGCGCUCACGGAGCGGCCGAUGGCAGAUUAGGUAGUUGGUGGGAUAAAAGCUUACCAAGCCGACGAUCUGUAGCUGGUCUGAGAGGACGACCAGCCACACUGGGACUGAGACACGGCCCAGACUCCUACGGGAGGAAGCAGUGGGGAAUUUUGGACAAUGGGCGCAAGCCUGAUCCAGCCAUGCCGCGUGCAGGAUGAAGGCCUUCGGGUUGUAAACUGCUUUUGUACGGAACGAAAAGACUCUGGUUAAUACCUGGGGUCCAUGACGGUACCGUAAGAAUAAGCACCGGCUAACUACGUGCCAGCCGCCGCCGUAAGAC